rnacentral:lncRNA from 1 species
AAUCCCUGGGCCCGCAUGGUUUAAGUGGAAGCGCCUUCCCUGGGAUGCACUUUCUAUUUGGUGAAAGCGUAUUCCCAGGAACACGCUUUCUAUUUUAAAACCCCGCCGGCUGAACUGCUUUUAUUGUGAACGUUCACUGGUUAAGAUCAGAAACAAAUAAGUUUUUAUUUGAUUUCUGCCUAACGAAUGAACGUCCAUAACUUUUCAACCGUAACUCCGAUUGAGGUAAAACCAGCGCUCACGUCUUCGUCUCGUCGAGCCCAUCUCGAUUAUAUUAUUUUCAUGAUAUUUUUGCACAGUAGAAAUGACAGUUUUGCCCUUGCCCUCCAACCGAGCCCUUCGAGAUAGAACCCUCUCCGGUAAAUCUUCUCGGUGUCAUAGUGUGCUUCUUCACGGUGUAUUCGUCGACCCCCCCGGCAAGCCAACCUCUUAUCAUAAGCUCCGGAUAUGCGUGAUAGCUCUGCUUGCACCAAGUGUGUUUACCCUGUAACACUGUUACUCUGUGUUUGCAUGCAACGGAGACAGCAGUAGUACAUUCUCUUACAGUAAUUGUCAUGUAAUACAUGCCCUCACGCUUUGCUUUGAAAUGCUCUUGCAUAGUUAAUUUGCGAGGUUCGUGAUUAAGCAAUGUAAUAUGUGAGAUUGCCGACGAACCCUUGCUCGCAUUUUCUUUAAUAGUGGCACCAUGCCUGAGUCUGAGCUGUUUUCGGCCGUCCGGGGUGGAUGCCAACUUUAUACUUCUCUUGUCAGCAGUUAGUUCAUGUUCUGAGCUGCUUUUCGGCCGUCACGAACAACUGUUGAAUUUCUUUCCGUGGUAGUGACCCUAUGCUCUGAGCUGUCAUUAUGUCGUCUUAGGGAACUCCCACAUUCUUCUUAUCAACACCGCCUCAUGCUCUGAGCUGCUUUCCAGCCGUCUUGGGUCGGGGUUGAGUUAUUCCGGUAAUGUCCCAGAUAUGUGUGUAACAACCGUUCUGGUGGCUACCGAUUUAUUUGCUAAGUUUAUGCGAGGGUGCCGAG